rnacentral:rRNA from 1 species
CCUACGGGUGGCAGCAGUGGGGGAUAUUGCACAAUGGGGGAAACCCUGAUGCAGCGACGCCGCGUGUGGGAAGACGGUCCUCUGGAUUGUAAACCACUGUCCCCAGGGACGAAGAUGACGGUACCUGGGGAGGAAGCCCCGGCUAACCACGUGCCCGCAGCCGCGGUAAUACGUAGGGAGCGAGCGUUGUCCGGAAUUACUGGGGGAAAAGGGGGCGUAGGCGGGACUGCAAGUUGGGUGGAAAAUCUACCGGCUAAACCGGUAGCAGCACUCGAAACUGCAGUUCUUGAGUGAAGGAGAGGCAGGCGGAAUUCCUAGUGUAGCGGUGAAAUGCUUAGAUAUUGCGCAGAACUCCGGUUGCGAAGGCAGCAUACCGGCGGCGAUCUGACGCUGAGGCGCGAAAGCGUGGGUAUCGAACAGGAUUAGAUACCCCUGUAGUC